rnacentral:rRNA from 1 species
GCAGUCUGGUGCCAGCAGCCGCGGUAAUUCCAGCUCCAAUAGUGUAUAUUAAAGUUGUUGCAGUUAAAAAGCUCGUAGUUGAACCUUGGGCCUGGCUGGCCGGUCCGCCUCACCGCGAGUACUGGUCCGGCUGGGCCUUUCCUUCUGGGGAACCCCAUGGCCUUCACUGGCCGUGGCGGGGAACCAGGACUUUUACUGUGAAAAAAUUAGAGUGUUCAAAGCAGGCCUUUGCUCGAAUACAUUAGCAUGGAAUAAUAGAAUAGGACGUGUGGUUCUAUUUUGUUGGUUUCUAGGACCGCCGUAAUGAUUAAUAGGGAUAGUCGGGGGCGUCAGUAUUCAGCUGUCAGAGGUGAAAUUCUUGGAUUUGCUGAAGACUAACUACUGCGAAAGCAUUUGCCAA